rnacentral:rRNA from 1 species
UACGUAGGUGGCAAGCGUUGUCCGGAUUUACUGGGCGUAAAGAGCGCGCAGGCGGUCGAUCAAGUCGCGUGUGAAAGCCCCCGGCUCAACUGGGGAGGGUCACGCGAUACUGAUCGACUCGAAGGCAGGAGAGGGUAGUGGAAUUCCCGGUGUAGUGGUGAAAUGCGUAAAUAUCGGGAGGAACACCAGUGGCGAAGGCGACUACCUGGCCUGUUUCUUGACGCUGAGGCGCGAAAGCUAGGGGAGCAAACGGG